UACAGAGGGUGCAAGCGUUAAUCGGAAUUACUGGGCGUAAAGCGUGCGCAGACGGUUGCGUAAGUCAGAUGUGAAAGCCCCGGGCUCAACCUGGGAAUUGCAUUUGAGACUGCGUAGCUAGGGUGCGGAAGAGGGAAGCGGAAUUUCCGGUGUAGCGGUGAAAUGCGUAGAUAUCGGAAGGAACACCAGUGGCGAAAGCGGCUUCCUGGUCCAGCACCGACGUUCAGGCACGAAGCGUGGGAGCAAACAGG
rnacentral:rRNA from 1 species